GCGGGAGUAGCUCAGUGGUAGAGUACGACCUUCCCAAGGUUGGGGCCGAGGGUUCGAUCCCCUUCUCCCGCU
rfam:Anaplasma marginale str. Florida, complete genome.